rnacentral:rRNA from 1 species
CCUACGGGAGGCAGCAGUAGGGAAUCUUCCACAAUGGGCGAAAGCCUGAUGGAGCAACGCCGCGUGGGUGAAGAAGGUCUUCGGAUCGUAAAACCCUGUUGUUAGAGAAGAAAGUGCGUGAGAGUAACUGUUCACGUUUCGACGGUAUCUAACCAGAAAGCCACGGCUAACUACGGGCCAGCAGCCGCGGUAAUACGUCGGUGGCAAGCGUUAUCCGGAUUUAUUGGGCGUAAAGGGAACGCAGGCGGUCUUUUAAGCCUGAUGUGAAAGCCUUCGGCUUAAACGGAGUAGUGCAUUGGAAACUGGGGGACGUGAGUGCAGAAGAGGAGAGUGGAACUCCAUGGGUAGCGGGGAAAUGCGUAGGUAUAUGGAAGAACACCAGUGGCGAAAGCGGCUCUCUGGUCUGUAACUGACGCUGGGGGUCGAAAGCGUGGGUAGCAAACAGGAAUAGAUACCCUUGUAGUC